ACGCACGCUGGCGGCGUGCCUAAUACAUGCAAGUAGCACGCUGAAGAGAGGAGCUUGCUCUUCUUGGAUGAGUUGCGAACGGGUGAGUAACGCGUAGGUAACCUGCCUUGUAGCGGGGGAUAACUAUUGGAAACGAUAGCUAAUACCGCAUAACAAUGGAUGACACAUGUCAUUUAUUUGAAAGGGGCAAUUGCUCCACUACAAGAUGGACCUGCGUUGUAUUAGCUAGUAGGUGAGGUAAUGGCUCACCUAGGCGACGAUACAUAGCCGACCUGAGAGGGUGAUCGGCCACACUGGGACUGAGACACGGCCCAGACUCCUACGGGAGGCAGCAGUAGGGAAUCUUCGGCAAUGGGGGCAACCCUGACCGAGCAACGCCGCGUGAGUGAAGAAGGUUUUCGGAUCGUAAAGCUCUGUUGUAAGUCAAGAACGGGUGUGAGAGUGGAAAGUUCACACUGUGACGGUAGCUUACCAGAAAGGGACGGCUAACUACGUG
rnacentral:rRNA from 1 species